UCUCAGUUCGGAUUGCAGGCUGCAACUCGCCUGCAUGAAGCCGGAAUUGCUAGUAAUCGCGGAUCAGCAUGCCGCGGUGAAUACGUUCCCGGGCCUUGUACACACCGCCCGUCACACCACGAGAGUUUGUAACACCCGAAGUCGGUGGGGUAACCUUUAUGGAGCCAGCCGCCGAAGGUGGGACAAAUGAUUGGGGUGAAGUCGUAACAAGGUAGCCGUAUCGGAAGGUGCGGCUGGAUCACCUCCUUUCU
rnacentral:rRNA from 1 species